rnacentral:snoRNA from 1 species
UGGCGUCAGUGAUGUCUCUACCUACAUUGUUUGAUAUCUACUUGAGAAAAGCUUUGUUUUCUGAGACGCCU